GCCGGGCAUGGUGGCUCAUGCCUGUAAUCCCAGGACUUUGGGAGGCUGAGGUGGGAGGAUCGCUUGAGCUCAGGGUUUCGAGACCAGCCUGGGCAACACGGUGAGACCCUAUCUCUA
rnacentral:SRP_RNA from 1 species